rnacentral:rRNA from 1 species
CACGUAGGGUGCAAGCGUUGUCCGGAAUCAUUGGGCGUAAAGAGCUCGUAGGCGGCUUAGUAAGUCGGGUGUGAAAACCCCAGGCUCAACCUGGGGACGCCACCCGAUACUGCUAUAGCUAGAGUCCAGUAGGGGAGUGUGGAAUUCCCAGUGUAGCGGUGAAAUGCGCAGAUAUUGGGAGGAACACCAGUGGCGAAGGCGGUGCUCUGGGCCGGAACUGACGCUGAGGAGCGAAAGCGUGGGGAGCAAACAGG